rnacentral:rRNA from 1 species
GACGAACCGUCCAAACGUUAUUCGGAAUUACUGGGCUUAAAGGGUGCGUAGGCGGCGCUACAAGUCGGGUGUGAAAUCCCUCAGCUUAACUGAGGAACUGCGCCCGAAACUGUAGUGCUGGAGUGAGGCAGGGGUGAGCGGAACUGAUGGUGGAGCGGUGAAAUGUGUUGAUAUCAUCAGGAACACCGGUGGCGAAGGCGGCUCACUGGGCCUUUACUGACGCUGAGGCACGAAAGCCAGGGGAGCAAACGAG